AAAGACCAAUCUCAGUUCGGAUUGUAGGCUGCAACUCGCCUACAUGAAGUUGGAAUCGCUAGUAAUCGCGAAUCAGAAUGUCGCGGUGAAUACGUUCCCGGGUCUUGUACACACCGCCCGUCACACCACGAGAGUUUACAACACCCGAAGUCAGUGGCCUAACCGCAAGGAGGGAGCUGCCUAAGGUGGGGUAGAUGAUUGGGGUGAAGUCGUAACAAGGUAGC
rnacentral:rRNA from 1 species